AGAGAGAGAGAGAGAAUUGAUCGCAUGGCUUUGCACAUGUUAGACAAGAGCUCUACCACUGAGCUCCAACCCCAGUCCUUUUAAGUCUUUCUUUUUUUUUAAUUUUGAGGAUGGGCCAAAACUUUUGAUCCUCCUACCUCAAACUCCCAAGCAGAUGCAAUUAGGAGCAUGGACCACCAACUUGAGAGUAACCAAUAUUAGUAUAUGAAUGAAUGAGUGAGUAUUUCUCACAGUAGAUCUGUGAGGUAGGUCUCUCAUUUUUCCCAUGUUAUAGAUAAGGAUGCUGAGACACACAAUUUACUAAUAUACAGUCUUCAUGGGAUAUUUGUGUUCUGUUCACUGCUGUACCUCUAGGUAUAUAGAACAGUGUGUAACAUACUAAAUAUUUCUUGAAUGAAAAUAGAAAAUAACUCCAUUUCCCCUAGCCAUAGAAUGGUAAAGAAGUCAGUAUUCAAACUCAAGUCUGAGUAGAUCUAUACCAUUCAUUUUUUUUCUUUUUCCUUUUGAAAUUGCUCAUGGCCAUGGAAGAAUUGCAGUAACAGUAAGAGAACAAUAACAGUACAAGACCCAGUGACCCUUCACCUGGACUCCUCACUCCGCCUGUGCCACAUUGGCUUUAUCUGUUUCCCGAUAUGCACCAUGAUUUUUUCUGAACCAUAUCUAAGGAAGGCACAGACAUCUUGACACUCCACCUGGACUCUUUGUCCAGUGAUUGCUAAGAGAAAACAUGCAGCUUUUAUAUCUAAGAAAAUUAAGAUUAGUUCAAAUUUCCUUAGCCGUUCACCAAAUUACUUUAUGGAUUUCCCCCAGUCAGCGUCCCACCAAGGCUCACUGCCUUUGGUUGCUGCCUUCUCAGAAGGUCUGUUCUUCUAGCCCUAUUCUGCAGUAUAGCACUUAAGAAAUGCUUAACUCCACCUCAGCAUUUUGUUUUCACAGCUUCGUCAGUCUGGCCAACCUUCCUCCCUCAGGAUCAGCAAAUGCAGGAGCAGAGGGGAUUUGCUCAGAGGAGAACAUCUACACCAUCAAGGAGAGCGUCUACCCCAUGGAGGAUCCAACUAGCAUGGCUCCCCAACCCAGAGACUGCAGAUUGUGGGCAUUAGAGCUCAGAAGUGCUUCAAUAAGGAGAAACCACCAACUGAGAGAAGAGACAAUCUACAGAGUAGGAAAAUAUAUUUACCAGCUAUUCAGAUAAAGGCCUACUAUCUAGCAUAUAUAAAGAACUCAAAAAAAUCAGAGCCCCCCCCCAAAUUUAAAGACCCAAUGCAAAGAUGGGCAUCUGAAAUGAACAGACAUUUCUCAGAUGAAGAAUUAGAAAUGGCAAAUAAACAUAUGAAAAAAUGUUCAACAUCACUGGUCAUUUGUGAAAUGCAAAUUAAAACAACACUGAGGUUCCAUCUCACUCCAAAAAGAAUGGCUGCUACCAAGAAGUCAACCAAUAAGAAAUUCUGGUGGGGC
rnacentral:lncRNA from 1 species